CCUUCCGGGCGGGGCUUGGGGGGCCACGCCCCCGGGGAGCGGAGGCCGGCGGGCGCAGGGGAAAUUCCGCAGGGAGCGAGGUGAGGAGCUAGCGGUUGGAGUCGGGUCUCCGGGCGCGUACUCCCCCCGCCGGUGAGGGUGAACUAACGGAAGUGGGCGGGCCGGCGCGCCGGGUUAGCAGGCGUUUAUCCUGUAUGGCCGCAGCAGUCAGCGCCCUUCACCAGCACGAGCCCCGCCUGCAGAGCCCUCGGCGGCAUCCAGCAGGAGGCCUCCCGCGGGAACUGUCACUCCGCCAAACAAGAGAGUUAAACAAGCAAAAGCCUAGAAACAAGCCAGCUGUCCAUCUGCAGUGGAAAGCAUACGCAAAUUGUGAUGUGCUCACGUACUGGAAUUCUACCCUGGCGUGAAAAAUCCACGAGCCACAGCUGCAAGCAACAAUAUGGUCUUCGUGAAAGGCAUCAGUUGGAACCUCAGAGUUUGGAUUUCUCUGCAGGUGUGCUGGGGGCCUCAGCGUCCGUGUGCCUCAGCUGCCUGGGCUCAGUCUGUCCAGGAGGGAUUUGGAAAGGACCCACGUAACGCCACAAAUAAAACACUAAAAUGGGAGCUUUUCGGGAAAAAUAAAAUAGAAUCCAGAAUGUUCUGAGCCACUUAAACUCUUCUGGAAAAGUGGAAAAAACAGUGUGGAAGUGUCAAUACUUCUAUUGUAUUUAGACAGUGUCGUUAAAUGUCAACUUUGUAUGUGAUUGUGAGAUGUAUAUGAACGGAGGCAUUACUAUCAUUCUAUCAUAAUUUACUGCUUGACCAAAAUAAACUAAUAAGAUAAAUAAAUACAUCUGCUCAUCCCCAACUGACUCAUAUGACCCUGAAUCGAAAUAAAAUAUUGGAUGAGCUGGCGAUGCCAAGUUUAAACUGGAUUAGCGACAGAAUCUCAGUGUGCUGUUUCGAUAUAAUUAACGCGAUGAUUUAAUAUGUUUUUAGCUCAGAAUCAUCGUAAGAGGUUUUUUGUAGUAACAUAGAAAUGAACGCACACUCAUCCAAUCUGCAGAGGAAUAAAAGGUUAUAAUAUUUUUGAGUUCUCCUGGCAGAGGAUCCAUUCUCAUCAAUCUCGUGCUCGGCAGGAGAGCCUAGGGAUGUUUUUCUUCCCAUCACUCAAAGCCGUUAUUUAAUGGGGGGUAACAGCCACAGUCUUCAUUAAUAUAUUAACCUAUGGCUCCAAAAGGCCUCGCAGUAAACCAGCUAAAGACUCCUCCUGGCAGGUUCAUGUCACAGGGCUUGCAGACAUUAACCAUUGGAAACACUGACCUCAGGGAUGAGCCCAAAGUUAAUAACCAGGCGAAGUCGGCUGGCCGACAGGCAGAAAGAGGGAGCCAAGAAGCCGACCUCAGGGAACCCGCGUGCGAGCUGUUCAAGAGGGACGGGGCACAACCACGUGUAAAACCUUACGGUGGAACGUUCUGCAGCUUCCAGAAGAAUGAGCAAAAUGGAACGAGUGCUAAAUGGAACCUGUUGCAAAAUGGAACGAGUUGCAAAAUGGAACGAGUGCUAAAUAUAUGGUUACGUGAAAAAAAAUGAAGAUGCCACAUGGAUUAAACUCUCAGUUGCUCAGCAUUCUAGCACUGGGGGGUCCCCAGAGGAACGGCUGACUCCUGGCCUGCUCACCCUAAAGCUAAACCUACCGAGGCUCCCUGGAAACACACAGCACGCUUUCCUAAUGACACCGGAUCUCGGUUCUUUCGAACCGAAAGAACCAAAAAGGAAAUCAUAGACUCUUGUAGAUGUGUAAUGAGACAGUAAAGCAUGUGUCUGUGGACUCUGCUUCCCGGUUUCCAAAUGACUCACAGUGCAAGUCUUCACAUCGUAAGCUCAGGGGUCUCCCAUCCUGCUCACCCUGCAGUGAAACCUGGCUCUGAUGAGCCUCCACAGGACACACGAGCCAUUGCCUAUGCUGUAGCUUGAAGGUCAACAAAGAACGACCGGACAUAACUGGGAAACCAGAAAUACGAAGGAGAGGGCUUCCCUGGUGGCGCAGUGGUUGAGAGUCCGCCUGCCGAUGCAGGGGACACGGGUUCGUGCCUCCGUCCAGGAGGAUCCCACAUGCCGCAGAGCGACUGGGCCCGUGAGCCAUGGCCGCUGAGCCUGCACGUCUGGAGCCUGUGCUCCGCAGUGGGAGAGGCCACAACAGUGAAAGGCCCGCGUGCCGCAAAAAAAAAAAAAAAAAAGAAAUACAAAGGAGAAAGAAUAAGGGAAACGAGAAAAAGGGAACCAAGAAAUCAUAUGCACCUAUGAUCCCAUAUCGAUUUAAAAUAUACACAGUGUGUCAGAGAAAGACAAAUAUCACAUGAUAUCACUUGUGUGCAGAAUCUAAAAAAAAUCAUACAAAUGAAUUUAUUUAUAAAACAGAAACAGACUCACAGACAUAAAAAACAAACUUACGGUUACCAAAGGGGAAAGGGUGGCAGAGAGGGCUAAAUUAGGAGUUUGGGAUUAACAGAUACACCCUGUUGUAUAUAAAACAGAUAUACAACAACGACCUAGCACAGGGAACUGUAUUCAGUAUCUUAUAAUAACUUAUAAUGGAAAAGAAUCUGAAAAAAAUAGAUAUAUUGUAUGUAGGGAGUUCCCUGACGAUCCAGUGGUUAGGACUCAGCACUUUCACUGCUGUGGCCCUGGGUUCAAAACCUGGUCGGGGAACUGGGAUCCUGCAGGCCAUUCGGCACAGUCAAAAAAAAAAAAAAAGAAUAUAUAUAUAUAUCCGAAUCACUUUGCUGUACACCAGAAAGUAACACAACAUUGUAAAUCAACUAUACUUCAAUUAAAAAUAUAUAUAUACACAGUGUGUUUGUAAGUACACCAACAUAUGUGUGUUUAUACAUGUGCAUAUAUAUGUGUAUCUGGAAAGAUAUGUACUCAGAUUCGAGCAGUGCUAAUCUCUAGGUGGUGGGACAUACUUUUUUUUUUAACUGUUGCGUUUUUCAGUUUUCAUCUUCCAAUUCCAUAAGUGUACAAUGCUUCUGAAAUUACACAAAAAAUGUUUUUCAAAAUACAAGUAAACUAAAACAGUAUAUUAAAAACCUAGAGUAGGGCUUCCCUGGUGGCACAGUGGUUGAGAGUCCACCUGCCGAUGCAGGGGACACGGGUUCGUGCCCCGGUCCGGGAGGAUCCCACAUGCCGCAGAGCGGCUGGGCCAGUGAGCCAUGGCCGCUGAGCCUGCACGUCCGGAGCCUGUGCUCCGCAACGGGAGAGGCCACAACAGUGAGAGGCCCGCGUACCGCAAAAAAAAAAAACAACCUAGAGUGAUCUGAGAUGUUGCAAGAAACAGAACAGAACUUCAAAAAAGACUCCAAAUAGUAUCUUAGAGAUCCUGGGGAACAAAUGCAUUCGUAAAACAAGAAUAGGAUGACAUGAAAAAGGAAAGAAUAGAGGACAAGUAACUUUUAAAAGAAUGCUGAAAUUGAAAACAUUAAUAGAAAAGUUGUAAGACGGAGCUGGGGAAAAAGGCAGAUGGAAAAUAUGGGAAGCAAUAAAAGACUUAGAACAUCAAUCCAAAAAAUUUCAACAUCUAACCAAUAAGAGUCCCAGAAAGAGAGUGUAAAGAAUCUGAGGGGUGAAUGUUGUUAAAGAGAGAUUAUCAGAAAUUACCAGAAUCAAAAGUCUUCAAAUGGGGCUUCAAAUGGGGCUUUCCCAUACCUCAAAAAAAAAAAAAAGUCUUCAAAUGGAGAGUUCUCAGCACAAUAAAUGAAAAAGAGACCCACAUCUCAAUAUAUCACUUCAGAACACACAAAGAGACAAGAAUCAGAUUGGCAUCUGAUUUUCCAUACACAACACUAGAUGCUAGAAAAUAAUGAAGCAACAUCUUCAAAGUUCCUAGGGAAAAAAUUCUGUUUCACCUAAAAUUCUGCAGCCCACCAAACCACCAAUCAAGCGUGAGGUAGAGUACAAUCAUUUUCAGAUACGACAUUUACAGAGUUUACUUCGUGCUCUCUCCUUCCCCUUCUGGGAAGUUACUCAAGAAUGUGAAUCAGAGAAUGGAGAGAAAGUGACAAACCGAGGGGCACUCGUCCCCUUGCCCCCUCCCCUUCCAGGAAGCAGCCCUGGAGCUUAAUGAGGGGAAACCCUGGGUGACAGAAGUCUGGAUGCUACCUAGUGAAAGGGCACAGAAGGAGAAUGCUGUGCCUUAGGUGUCUUUACAGAGGGUGAAUAGGAGGGGCCAUGUCAAGGUUGGGUUUUCCAGAAACAGGAGUUGGGAUGGAGUUUGUGUUGGAGAUCCGCACAGAGGAAAGGGGAGGAAGCAGGGUUGGGGAGCUGUGGCUCAGGCCAGGAGCCUGCAGGGCAGAGUGGGCCACCAUGGCCCAUCAGAGGAGCCCCCCAAAUCCCCUCCCCCAGCCCAUCACUAGACGUGGACCACCCAGGGAAGGGCGUGCCUGUGGUCAGGGAGGCUCUCGGCAGCAGAGGCCGGCCCUGAAGGGGCAUCUGGUGCACACGUCUCUUGGUCGGCCCACAGCACAGUCCAUGGCAAACCCCUGGAAAGCACAGAGAUGAGCUGCAGGGGUUCUAUCAGCCCCGUGCAAAAUCUACAGGCAGGACGCUAAGUUAUGGUUCUGAAGAGUUUUCUAUGGGGGGAGCACAGAGUAAGUUAGUCUAAGUACGCAAUUUCCUGAAAACGUGUUAAUGAAACUUAAAGGAUAUAAAAAUUAAAUUAACUUUUAAGAUCUUCAUCUCCAAUAUCCAUUGCCUAGGCUAAGUUUUUUUUUUUAAUAACUUCGCUUUUCUAAGAGCAGUUUAGGCCGACAAUAAAACUUAGACGAAGGGAUUUCCCACCCGGCCACCCGGCCGCCCGCUGCCCACACGCAGGCAUAGCCUCCCCUUUGCUGACAGCACUCACCAGAGUGGUUCGCUUGUUUUACCAAAGGUGAACCUCCAUUGACGCAUCAGAAUCACCCAAGUCCAUGUUUAUCCUAGGGCUCACUCUGGGCGGUGUACACUCAGUGGAUUUGGACAAAUGUGCAAUGACAUAUAUCCAUCAUUAUCAUAUCAUAAAGAGUAUUUUCACUGCCCUAAAAAUCCUCUGUGCUCUACCUAUUCAGCUUUUCCCAACCCCUCCCCUCCAAAACCACUGAUCUCUUUACCGUCUCCAUAGUUGUGCCCUUUCCAGAUUGUCAUAGAGUCAGAAUCGUGCAGUGUGUCGCCUUUCCAGACUGGCUUUCACUUAGUGACGUGCCUUAUGGUUCCUCCAUGCCUUGUCUUGGCUUCACAGCUCAUCUCUCUUUAGCACCGAAUGAUAUUUCACUCUCUGGAUACACCACAGGUUAUUUAUCCUCUCACCUACUGAUGGACGUAUGAGUUGCCUCCAAUUUUUGGCAAUUAUGAAUAAAGCUGCUCUGAGUAUCUGUGUGCAGGUUUUGUGUGGAGAUAUGUUUUCAGCUCUUCUGGGUAAGUACCAAGGAGCAUGCUUGCUGGAUUAUAUGGUAAGAGUACGUUUCGUUUUGAAAGGCACCGCCCAACUGCCUUGCCAAGUGGCUGCACCACGUGCGUCCCCACCAGCGGUGAGCGUUCCGGCUGCCCCACGUCCUCGCCAGCAUUUGGUGUUGUCGGUGCUCUGGAUUUUGGCCAUUCUCAGAGGUGUGUAGUGGUGUCUCAUUGCUGUUUUAAUUUGCAUUUCCUUGAUGACAUAGGAUGUGGGGCAUCCUUUCAUACAUGCUUACUUGCCAUCUGUAUAUCUUCUUUGCUGAGGUAUCUAUUAAGGUCUUUGGCCAGUUUUUUCAGUUGGGUUGUUUUCUUGAGUUUUGAGAGUUCUUUGAGUUGAGUUGAAUUUUGAGAGUUCUUUGUCUAUUUUGGAUAAUAACCCUUUAUCAAAUGUGUCUGUUGCAAAUAUUUUCUUCCACUAUGUGGCUUAUCUUUUAAUUCCCUUGAUAUUGCCUUUUGCAGAGCAGAAGUUUUUAAUUUUAAUGAAAUCCAGCUUAACAAUUAUUUCUUUCAUGGAUCGUGUCUUUGGUGGUGUAUCUAAAAAGGCAUCACCGUACCCAAGAUCAUCUAGGUUUUCUCCUAUGUUAUCUGCUAGGGGGUUUGCAUUUUACACUUAGGUCUAUGAUCCAUGUUGAGUUAAUUAGGUUAGGCUUUUGACAGUAUUUAUGUGAUAGAUUGCUCAAAACUAUCUGCACUCCUAAGUUUGUUGCAGCAUCACUUACAAUAGCCAAGAUAUGGAAACAACCUAUGUGUCCAUUGAAAGAUGAAUGGAUAAAGAAAAUGUGAUGUAUACAUACAAUAAAAUAUUAUUCAGCCUUAAAAAAGAAUACACGUUAUAUUCUGUUUUAUGCUACAACAUGGAUGAACCAGGAGGGCAUCACGCUCAGUGAAGUAAGCCCGUCCCAGAAGGACAAAUCCUGCAUGAUUCCACUUAUCUGAGGAAUCUAAAGUAAUCAAACUCACAGAAGCAGAGGGUAGCAUGGUUGUUGCCAGGGGCUGGGGGAGGGGAGACAUGUGGAGUUGGUAAUAGGCAUAAAGUUUCCGUUGUGCAGGAUAAACAGUUUCUAGAGAUCUGUUGUACAACUUAGUGCCUCCAGUUAACAAUUCUGGUUUUUUUUCUUGAAAAUUAGUUUUAAGAGUGUAGCUCUCAAAAAAAAAAAAAAAAAGAGUGUAGCUCUCAUGUUAAGUGUUCUUAUGACAAAGAAGGUAGGGGCAUGAGGAAGUUAGCAGGUGAUGGAUAAGUUUAUUGACUGUGGUGAUGGUAUCACAGGUGAAAGCAUGUGUCCAUACUAAACGAAGUGUAUACAUCAAAUAUGUGCAUUUUUAUAUAUAACAGUUGUAUCUCAAUAAAGCCAUAAAUAAAAUUGA